rnacentral:rRNA from 2 species
AACUGAGGGGGGCUGCUCCUAGUACGAGAGGACCGGAGUGGACGCAUCACUGGUGUUCGGGUUGUCAUGCCAAUGGCACUGCCCGGUAGCUAAAUGCGGAAGAGAUAAGUGCUGAAAGCAUCUAAGCACGAAACUUGCCCCGAGAUGAGUUCUCCCUGAGACUUAGAGUCUCCUGAAGGAACGUUGAAGACGACGACGUUGAUAGGCCGGGUGUGUAAGCGCAGCGAUGCGUUGAGCUAACCGGUACUAAUGAACCGUGAGGCUUAACCUU